ensembl:ncRNA lncRNA:CR46013 long non-coding RNA:CR46013
GUGGUUAAUACAGAAUAUAACAAAAGCUGAGCACUAAACAAGCAGUAAGUGCAGUAAAAUUCUGAAUGAAUUGGGUUCAAUCAAUUUGAAACGCCCACAUUGUUAUUGGCACAAAUAGCCACAUUUAUCGACUGGUAAUCCAUCUGUUUAACGGGCUCCUUGGAACACGCUCAUCAUUUGUUAAUCAUACUUAAUGCCCCAAAACCAAACCGCACCUGCUGCCACACCACUCUGCGGCCCCACCACAUCGAAAUGCUGAGCGAUGCUUAGCCGGAAUAAAUCUACCAUAAAGAUGCUUGACAUUAUUCAAAAUACCAAAACUACAGAAUUCCCGAAAUGCCUUGGCCAAAGGAGGAGGAGCUGCAUCGAAAGCUGGAGCCGGAACAGUUGGACAGGGCGAUACUACGACGACAAUGGGCAAAAAAGGCAAUAAAAUUUAAUGCCAGACGAGGGAGCCGCGAGUGGAUCGAGUGGAGCGUGGAGGCACAAACGACUUCAUUUUAUCUU